rnacentral:ncRNA from 1 species
CGCCCGGGCCGGAUCCCGUGGGGGGAAUCCGCACCGGGGAAACGGGAAGCGCCCCGCUCACCGAC